ACAUGACUCUCGGCAACGGAUAUCUCGGCUCUCGCAUCGAUGAAGAACGUAGCAAAAUGCGAUACCUGGUGUGAAUUGCAGAAUCCCGUGAACCAUCGAGUUUUUGAACGCAAGUUGCGCCCGAGGCCUUUUGGCCGAGGGCACGUCUGCCUGGGCGUCACGCC
rnacentral:rRNA from 1 species